rnacentral:rRNA from 1 species
AAGUCUUUAACUAAAAAAACUUGGCGGUAGAUUAGUCUGUUUAGAGGAAUCUGUACAAUGAAUGAUGUUACCCAAGAAUCUUACUUAAAUGAAAGCUUGUAUACCGCCGUAUUAAGAAUAACCAAUGAAGAAGGUUUUUUCGAAAACAAGAGUCUGAAAAAUUCAGGUCAAGGUGCAGUUAAUAUUUAAGAGUGAUAUGGAUUACAAUAAGAGUACUUAAGAUGAAUUGAUUUGCUGAAAAGGUAAAAGUGAAGGUGGAUUUAUAUGUAAAUUUUUAAUAAAAUGGAAAGUUGAAUAAGAAAUUGAUUUAUGC